CUAGCCGUCAUUUGGUACCCUGGGGCGCCCACCUCCCCCUCUGGUCGACCUCCCCCAUGCCUGCCCUACUGCAGACCUGGGAAGAAGAAGAAGGGAAGGAGAAGAAAGGGAGAGAAGGAAGCGGAGGGAAUCGAGGUGAAGAAGGAAAUGAGGGGUUUGAUUGCCGCUUCCCAAGGAGGCCUAGGUGAUACCACUUCGGAAUGCAACUAGAGUUCAUCUCGUCAUCGGUAAAGGCAAGUAAAUGUAGCGGUGGUUUGCUACAGCUUUAACCUGUUAUUUUCCUACCUUCACUUUAAAAUUAUAUAUCAAUAACCAAUAAUCAAGAUAGUAUUACAGGUCGUAGCAAGGUUUUACCUAUCUGAAUCAUUGCUUAUCGUUAUUGCACUGUUUAUGGUUAUACUUUAUGCUCUUGGUUAUAAUAACCUUAUACUGGUCUCCAUCUAAGGAAUGUGGUUUCGAUGUUAUACUCUGGAAUUCAUACUGCAUUUGCAUCACACUUGCAUUGCAUUUGAAGUUAUGCUGUGAACCUAUGGUUGCGACCGUACCGGUACAUCAUCGUAUAUUGUCGUAAUACGAUGCAGCUUCACACCUUGUUGGGUGCGAAGGCAGGAGUACAUACCAUUGCAUUGCAUAUGCACAUAUUGCAGGAUGUUAUGAAAACUAUCGAUCGAAGAUGUCUUUGAGAAGUGUUUUCUUCUCUCGGAGUUGUGAAUAUAUGGAUUUGAUUGGUGAUGUCAUGAUGUUUUAGUCCUUGGAUAUUGAACUUGUCUUUAUGUGAAUCAUAACUUGGUAUUUAAUCAGCUAUAUAAUAAACCUGUGGUUUAAAUAGGUUGUUAAAGCCGUUUGCUUGCUGAGAUUUAUUCUCACCCCUUAUAGUCUUUUCAGGUACUUGUUGUGACAUGUUUGCAUGAAGGGAUGGGAUUAGCUACACUGUUGCACAAUAUGAUCUCACUUAGUCAUGAUUAUUGUAAUAUGUUGAUAAGAUUACUUGUGUUUAGACAUAAUGGGUUAAUUAAAUAAUAGAGUUAUCGACCAUUGAUUAACUUUUUUUUUCGAGGCUAUCCCUAUAAGUCAGUCAGUUGUUGUAUCAUAACCUUAAUCUAUAUAUUGAUGCUUCCGCUAUAUUGUUUUUAAAAAA